GGGGGCUUAGACGAACAUCUGAAUCCGAUUUUGAAGAAGUCUUGCAUCGAUGGACACUGACAAAAUAUAGGAAGCUGCACAUGAAUGUUGGGUAUUUUAUCAUAAGUAGAAUACAGAUAGAUUCUGUAGUAGUAGAUCUCUUUAGUUGGGUAUUGAAAUUGGCUUUGGUUUGUAUGGGGUCUGAUGAGGUCUCAGUUGCAUUUGAUCCUACUUGUUAUUUAUCACUGCCAAUGCCAGUCGAAAAGGAAGUACCAGUUGACCUGUAUCUGGCUAACGUGGACCUUUUAGCAGAAAUUUUUCUGCUUUCAAGGGAUUCAAAGAGUUUGUAGAAUAUUAUGUCUCUAGGAUUCCACAGUUUUAGGCAGAUUCUUAAUUAUAAAGGAUUGGGAAAGAAAAUUGACGGAGGCUCAGUGCCAAAAAAAUUAUGGUAGUUGGAAUGAUUACCGAAGCUCUUCGGAUUCGUUUAUUUCACUCGUUAUGGUAUUUAAAGAAAAUAAACGUGUACCUGUGCCCCUUUGUAUCUGUGACCCGAUUUCCUCUUCACUUGCGAUAAUUCUGCAGCGGGUCAUGCAGAUACUGUGAUCAGCAGAAAAAGUUGGAAGUGCGCUGCCCGGAAAGCAAAUCUGGGGUAAAAGAAAAAAACUUAUUCCAACUAGUAAGCCAUUCCCAAAUUCAACCAACAAAAAGGAAAAGGUGGAAGGAAAAACUUCGUUCUCUGGUAGUGUUUUAGUUAAAAUCCUUUUUGUGCAAAUUCAUAUUUGAAAUUGUUUACCUCAUUUUCGAAUGGUUCCGUUCACAUUUGUUGUUCAUGUGAGAUUUUAUGUUUACCAGUUACUGCAUUAUAUUGACCACUAUUGCAAGAUGUUUGUUUAGGAAUAACUACUGUUUUGUUUAUCUGGAAUGUUGUGUGGGAGUCCAUCAGGAAUUGCUGGUCUGCAGUAAAUUUGUCAGGCUAGGUGAUGAAGAUCAAUGAAUCAGAAAAUGUUUUGCAUGGGUGGUGAAUGUUCUGACAGUUUUAACAGUUGUGAUGUGGUGUAUUUCACUUCCACGCAUCAUGGUGUUUUUAUCUAUCAGUUGAAUUGUAUGGUUAAUUUUCUGUUCGUGUAACCUCAUUUCCUCUUGAAUCAUAUAGUAGAAAUUGGUGACCUGAAACAAUGAACAUGGAAAAAUCACCUGUGCCAACGUUGACGAUGUUUGAUUGAUGAAGUGCUGGAAACUAAAAUUAAUUUUCUUUACAAUUUGGUUUCAGGCUAUCUUUAUAAUUUUUUAUUAGUUUUGCGUUUGUUUAGAGUCCGCAAGCUCGUAGCUGAUUUCCUCCUUUAGAUACCGCCUGUCGACGGUUUGACAGCCUCACACAAUUGAACGUAUGCCAAAAAGCCAAAGUGAGCUCUUCCGAUCAGAAAAGUGACGGCGUAUCCAUUUAAUUGAAAAUAGGCACAAGAUAACGCACAAUUGGCGUUCUUGCCUCAAUGGAGAAAUUUUUCCGUGGAACUUAUGACCGAAAUACCAUUGCAGCUGUUCAAAAAAAAAAGAAAAGUGUAUUAUCAUGCAGAUGUUGACUAGCUAACAAUCCAGAGAUACGUCAACUUGCGAAAUUUCUAGAUGUGUGUGAAGCGCAAUCAGCAUCCUUGUUGAACUGUGAACCCAAAUCAUGUAUUUUCCUAGAAAUAUCUAGGUUUUUGGAUAAAUAAAUAAAAGUCAGUGAAAAAAUGUGA